CUGCGGAAGGAUCAUUACAGUAUUCUUUUUGCCAGCGCUUAAUUGCGCGGCGAAAAAACCUUACACACAGUGUUUUUUGUUAUUACAAGAACUUUUGCUUUGGUCUGGACUAGAAAUAGUUUGGGCCAGAGGUUUACUGAACUAAACUUCAAUAUUUAUAUUGAAUUGUUAUUUAUUUAAUUGUCAAUUUGUUGAUUAAAUUCAAAAAAUCUUCAAAACUUUCAACAACGGAUCUCUUGGUUCUCGCAUCGAUGAAGAACGCAGCGAAAUGCGAUAAGUAAUAUGAAUUGCAGAUUUUCGUGAAUCAUCGAAUCUUUGAACGCACAUUGCGCCCUCUGGUAUUCCAGAGGGCAUGCCUGUUUGAGCGUCAUUUCUCUCUCAAACCUUCGGGUUUGGUAUUGAGUGAUACUCUUAGUCGAACUAGGCGUUUGCUUGAAAUGUAUUGGCAUGAGUGGUACUGGAUAGUGCUAUAUGACUUUCAAUGUAUUAGGUUUAUCCAACUCGUUGAAUAGUUUAAUGGUAUAUUUCUCGGUAUUCUAGGCUCGGCCUUACAAUAUAACAAACAAGUUUGACCUCAAAUCAGGUAGGAUUACCCGCUGAACUUAAGCAUAUC
rnacentral:rRNA from 2 species